rnacentral:rRNA from 1 species
UACGGAGGAUCCAAGCGUUGUCCGGAUUUAUUGGGUUUAAAGGGUGCGUAGGCGGACUAUUAAGUCAGUGGUGAAAGUUUGCAGCUUAACUGUAAAAUUGCCAUUGAAACUGAUAGUCUUGAGUUCAGUUGAGGUAAGCGGAAUGUGUCAUGUAGCGGUGAAAUGCUUAGAUAUGAUACAGAACACCGAUUGCGAAGGCAGCUUGCUAAACUGAUACUGACGCUGAGGCACGAAAGCAUGGGGAUCAAACAGG